rnacentral:rRNA from 1 species
UACGGGGGGGGCAAGCGUUGUUCGGAAUUACUGGGCGUAAAGGGCUCGUAGGCGGCCAACUAAGUCGGAUGUGAAAUCCCCAGGCUUAACCUGGGAACUGCAUCCGAUACUGGAUGGCUUGAAUCCGGGAGAGGGAUGCAGAAUUCCAGGUGUAGCGGUGAAAUGCGUAGAUAUCUGGAGGAAUACCGGUGGCGAAGGCGGGUCUCUGGACAGUUCCUGACGCUGAGGCACGAAGGCCAGGGGAGCAAACGGG